AAAUCUGCAGAGCCCUGAGCUGGCACAAGGCCCUGGGCAGGCCCGGAGAGGGGGUCCUCUCCGCCCCAGGGGUGGGGAGGGCAGAUUUUCAGGUGGAGACAGAGCUGUUUUGGGGUUGACCUAGGCUUGUGGGGAGACACGGUGAGGAGUGAGGAAGGGGUCCCGGGGGGCUGCUGGUUUAUUUGGGGAGCAGACUCUUCAGUAGAGGGGGCAGAGGCAGGCUGGGUAGGGCAGGAUGUAGGGGGCCGUGGCCAAGCACAGGGGUGCUUUCCUGUGGGCACAGGGGAAUGGGCCUGGGCGGAGCUGGGCUGAGGGAUGAUUACCCUGGCCAGGGUCGGAGACAGAGGGUACAGGGCCACUGCGGGGUUCAGGGGCCCCCUAGUUUGCAUAGACACAAAUGGUGGGGCUGAGCCGCGAGUGACAGCCGGGCUUGUGCAUGGGUGCAUGGGUGCUGCCCCAGGCGGGAGGGAGGCUGUGAGGGAGGAAGAGGAGGCCGCUGCCCUCAGGGGGACCUAACCCUGCAGGUCCCUGAGCGGCGGCAGAACGUGCUCCCGGCCACGCUGCCACCGUUCCCCCACAGCAGGGGCUGGGCCCUGGGGCAGGCGGGGCCCUGGCAGCCGAGGCCUGGGGACGAUGACAUCAUGGUGGCCUUCGUUUGUUCACUUGCUCAUCACUCAUUCACCCGCCCUUGCACAUCUCUCGCUGGGCGCUGGCCCGGGUGGGUUCAGUGUCGGGGUAGCCGGCACCUCCCAGGCUGUGACAGCAAGGAUGACGGACGAUGGUCCGGCCAGCUGAGCCUGUGCCCGCAGUGCCAUCCCGCUGUCUGGAGAAGCCGCCCAGCGGUCAGCGCCCCUGAGCAGGGCCAGGGCUCUGGAGCUUGUCCUCUGUCCGCAGUGCCCGGUGCUCUCGGAGCACUUGUGCUGGAAGUGGGACUUCCCCGCCCCAGACGCCGCCCGCUGAGGUGGGCUCGCGGGGCGCCUCUGCUCUGCCGCUGCCCCUGCCCACGCCCCUCCCCUCCCUGGGUCUAGGCUCUCGGUCUGAAUUAUAAGAGCAGUGGGUGGUGGACGCUUGCUUUCCUCUGCGGCCCUGUCGGUGGGGCAGCCAGGACGUUCAAGGCAUUUUCUAAUCACAGUACGAACACAUGGGCUCUAACAAGUUCAGCAAAGUUGCAGAAUCAAGAUCCACGUGCAAAAACCAUUUGCUUUCCUGUUUAGCAGCAAUGAGCAAUCCACAAAUGAUAUUGGGGAAGCGGCUCCGUGCACAGCAGCUCCGAAGGGAGGAAGCGCUUAGGAAUGAGUUCAUGGAGGAAUUUCGCGGUAAAGUUCUGAAAUUCUUAUGGAGUUGCCUGGGGCACAGAGCAGCCGGGACACUUUAAAGGACAAAGCUGAGCACUCGCCUUCCAGAAUCCAGACCUCUCCAAAGUCAGCAAAGCCGUGUGGCAGGGCUGUGGGUCCCGGGGUGGAGCCAAGGCCGAGACACAGUCACAGGCCCUGUCCCAGUCCAAGGCACCUGCCCCCCGGGAGACACCUGGAUGCCCCCAACGUGGCCUGAACAGCCACCCACCGGAGCCAGCGCAGUGACCUGAGCCGCCUGCAUCCCUUGCCCUUGGCAAUCAUCUCCAGGCAUCUACUGGAUGCUCCACCCUGCUCCAGGAGCUGGGACACGGAACGGGGAAGAGAUUAGCUUCCUGUCGGUGCACUGCAGAUGGAGGGCUCGCUGCCGGCUGUGCCCUGGAACGCACAGAUGGAGGGCUCGCUGCUGGCUGUGGCCUGGAUCACACAGAUGGAGGGCUCACUGCCGGCUGUGGCCUGGAUCACA